rnacentral:rRNA from 1 species
GAUGAACGCUGGCGGCGUGCCUAAUACAUGCAAGUCGGGCGAACAGAUGAGGAGCUUGCUCCUCUGACGUUAGCGGCGGACGGGUGAGUAACACGUGGAUAACCUACCUAUAAGACUGGGAUAACUUCGGGAAACCGGAGCUAAUACCGGAUAAUAUAUUGAACCGCAUGGUUCAAUAGUGAAAGACGGUUUUGCUGUCACUUAUAGAUGGAUCCGCGCCGCAUUAGCUAGUUGGUAAGGUAACGGCUUACCAAGGCAACGAUGCGUAGCCGACCUGAGAGGGUGAUCGGCCACACUGGAACUGAGACACGGUCCAGACUCCUACGGGAGGCAGCAGUAGGGAAUCUUCCGCAAUGGGCGAAAGCCUGACGGAGCAACGCCGCGUGGGUGAUGAAGGUCUUCGGAUCGUAAAACUCUGUUAUUAGGGAAGAACGAAUGUGUAAGUGACUAUGCACGUCUUGACGGUACCUAAUCAGAAAGCCACGGCUAACUACGUG